AUUGAACGCUGGCGGCAUGCCUUACACAUGCAAGUCGAACGGCAGCACGGGAGCAAUCCUGGUGGCGAGUGGCGAACGGGUGAGUAAUAUAUCGGAACGUGCCCAGUCGUGGGGGAUAACGCAGCGAAAGCUGUGCUAAUACCGCAUACGAUCUACGGAUGAAAGCGGGGGAUCGCAAGACCUCGCGCGAUUGGAGCGGCCGAUAUCAGAUUAGCUAGUUGGUGGGGGAAAGGCCCACCAAGGCGACGAUCUGUAGCUGGUCUGAGAGGACGACCAGCCAAACUGGAGCUGAGACACGGUCCAGACUCCUACGGGAGGCAGCAGUGGGGAAUUUUGGACAAUGGGCGCAAGCCUGAUCCAGCAAUGCCGCGUGCAGGAUGAAGGCCUUCGGGUUGUAAACUGCUUUUGUACGGAACGAAACGGCUCCUUCUAAUACAAGGGGCUAAUGACGGUACCGUAAGAAUAAGCACCGGCUAACUACGUGCCAGCAGCCGCAGUAACAC
rnacentral:rRNA from 1 species